CCUACGGGAGGCAGCAGUCGAGAAUCAUUCACAAUGGGGGAAACCCUGGUGGUGCGACGCCGCGUGGGGGAAUGAAGGUCUUCGGAUUGUAAACCCCUGUCAUGUGGGAGCAAAUUAAAAAGAUAGUACCACAAGAGGAAGAGACGGCUAACUCUGUGCCAGCAGCCGCGGUAAUACAGAGGUCUCAAGCGUUGUUCGGAAUCACUGGGCGUAAAGCGUGCGUAGGCUGUUUCGUAAGUCGUGUGUGAAAGGCGCGGGCUCAACCCGCGGACGGCACAUGAUACUGCGAGACUAGAGUAAUGGAGGGGGAACCGGAAUUCUCGGUGUAGCAGGGAAAUGCGUAGAUAUCGAGAGGAACACUCGUGGCGAAGGCGGGUUCCUGGACAUUAACUGACGCUGAGGCACGAAGGCCAGGGGAGCGAAAGGGAUUAGAUACCCGGGUAGUC
rnacentral:rRNA from 1 species